GUUAUCCCGGAGGGCUUGUAGCUCAGUUGGUUAGAGCGCGCGCUUGAUAAGCGUGAGGUCGGAGGUUCAAGUCCUCCCAGGCCCACCAAUCAUUCUAUCAAUCUAUAAGCGCUUGUGGAAAUUGCUCAUAGAAAACUUUCUUUAUUCAUUUAUGAAAAAUCUCCUUAUAGAGAUAGAGAGAGACGCUUUUCCCUUUGGGUUUGAAAACUCAAGAUUACAGGUGUUAAAGUGGCUUUAAAGGAAAAGUGACAAAGAAUAAGGAAUAACGAUUUAAGUUAUCCCUUUUUGGUGAUCUUGAUUUGGGUGUUUUGAAUGCGUUAUGUUUUUUAGGGGGGCCGUAGCUCAGCUGGGAGAGCACCUGCUUUGCAAGCAGG
rnacentral:misc_RNA from 1 species